AUUGAACGCUGGCGGCAUGCCUUACACAUGCAAGUCGAACGGUAACGCGGGGCAACCUGGCGACGAGUGGCGAACGGGUGAGUAAUGCAUCGGAACGUGCCCAGGAGUGGGGGAUAGCCCGGCGAAAGCCGGAUUAAUACCGCAUACGACCUACGGGUGAAAGGGGGGGAUCGCAAGACCUCUCGCUAUUGGAGCGGCCGAUGUCAGGUUGGGUAGUUGGUGGGGGAAAAGCCUACCAAGCCGACGAUCUGUAGCUGGUCUGAGAGGACGACCAGCCAGACUGGGGCUGAGACACGGCCCAGACUCCUACGGGAGGCAGCAGUGGGGAAUUUUGGACAAGGGGGGAAACCCUGAUCCAGCCAUGCCGCGUGCGGGAAGAAGGCCUUCGGGUUGUAAACCGCUUUUGUCAGGGAAGAAACGCUCUGGGCUAAUACCUUGGAGUAAUGACGGUACCUGAAGAAUAAGCACCGGCUAACUACGUGCCAGCCGCCGCAGUAA
rnacentral:rRNA from 1 species